rnacentral:rRNA from 1 species
AGAGUUCUGAUCAUGGCUCAGAACGAACGCUGGCGGCAGGCCUAACACAUGCAAGUCGAACGAGAAGCCACCUUCGGGUGGUGGAUAGUGGCAGACGGGUGAGUAACGCGUGGGAACGUGCCUUUCGGUUCGGGAUAACCCAGGGAAACUUGGGCUAAUACCGGAUACGCCCUCCGGGGGAAAGAUUCAUUGCCGAAAGAUCGGCCCGCGUCGGAUUAGCUAGUUGGUGGGGUAAAAGCCUACCAAGGCGACGAUCCGUAGCUGGUCUGAGAGGAUGACCAGCCACACUGGGACUGAGACACGGCCCAGACUCCUACGGGAGGCAGCAGUGGGGAAUAUUGGACAAUGGGCGCAAGCCUGAUCCAGCCAUGCCGCGUGGGUGAAGAAGGCCCUAGGGUUGUAAACCCCUUUCAGCGGGGAAGAUAAUGACGGUACCCGCAGAAGAAGCCCGGCUAACUCCGUGCCAGCAGCCGCGGUAAUACGGAGGGGGCUAGCGUUGUUCGGAAUUACUGGGCGUAAAGCGCGCGUAGGCGACCUGCA